rnacentral:rRNA from 1 species
UUUAUCUUUAUGGUAAAUGUGAGAUGCAGUGUAUGGAAUGUCAAAUUUCUUGUAUGAGAAGUUAACGAUUUAAGUCCUUCUUAAAUGAGGCCAUUUACCCAUAGAGGGUGCCAGGCCCGUAUAACGUUAAUGAUUACUAGAUGACAUUUCCAAAGAGUCGUGUUGCUUGAUAGUGCAGCACUAAGUGGGUGGUAAACUCCAUCUAAAACUAAAUAUAACCAUGAGACCGAUAGUAAACAAGUACCGUGAGGGAAAGUUGAAAAGAACUCUGAAUAGAGAGUUAAAUAGUACGUGAAACUGCUUAGAGGUUAAGCCCGAUGAACCUGAAUAUCCAUUAUAGAAAAUUCAUCAUUAUGAUUUUAAUAUAUUAUAAUAGUGGUGUGCAUUUUUUCUAUAAAAUGACAUUGUAAUUUAUUAACAUAAAAUUUAUCAUAAGAUCAGCGAAAGUUUAUUCAAAUUAUUUUGCUUGCGAUUUAACAUAGAAUAAAUGCUCCUGAUUUGAUAAAGUGUUGAUAGACUUAUUGUACAGUGCAUAAAUAAUAUUUUAUAAUAUCAUAUAAAUUAUUAAUUUUUAUGUUUAUUUUAAGCACUUAUACGAUUAACAAUGCGAAAGAUUCAGGAUACCUUCGGGACCCGUCUUGAAACACGGACCAAGGAGUCUAACAUAUUUGCAAGUUAUUGGGAGAAACCUAAUAGCGAAAUUAACAUAACAUAAUGGUAUUAAUUUUUAGCCAGGCUAUUAAUUCAAUUCCGGGGCGUUCUGUAUGGUUAUGUAUAAUAAUAUUUAUAUUAUUUAUAUCUCUAACUAGAGCGUACCUUGAGCAUAUAUGCUGUGACCCGAAAGAUGGUGAACUAUACUUGAUCAGGUCGAAGUCAGGGGAAACCCUGAUGGAAGACCGAAACAGUUCUGACGUGCAAAUCGAUUGUCAGAAUUGAGUAUAGGGGCGAAAGACCAAUCGAACCAUCUAGUAGCUGGUUCCCUCCGAAGUUUCUCUCAGGAUAGCUGGAGCAUUUAAAAAUUAUGUAAAAUAAUCUUAUCUGGUAAAGCGAAUGAUUAGAGGCCUUAGGGUCGAAACGAUCUUAACCUAUUCUCAAACUUUAAAUGGGUAAGAACCUCACCUUUCUUGGUAUGAAGGUUGUGGUUGUGAUAUAAUGUGCCUAGUGGGCCACUUUUGGUAAGCAGAACUGGCGCUGUGGGAUGAACCAAACGUAAUGUUACGGUGCCCAAAUUAACAACUCAUGCAGAUACCAUGAAAGGCGUU